ACUUAAAGGGCGGUUAUCACUGUGGAUACCAGUGGAAUGUCUAAUUGAUUGCAACACUCUAGUUCCACCAGAAAUACUCUUCUUUAACCUUUCUAUUGUGUUUAUUGUUUAUUUUACUACACUCUACACUGAGCAGCCACAACAUUAAAACCACCUAACUAAUAUCGUGUAGGACCCCUUCAACUCUGAUGUGUCGAGGCAUGGACUUCACAAGACCUCUGAAU